rnacentral:lncRNA from 1 species
AACAAUGAGCUAAGCUCAUACCGCAUAAUCAGCUAUAAAAGGCCCCGAUAAGACAAUGUAAAACGAUUCAAACGAAAACUAACGGCCUUAUCUAUGUUAAAAAAAAUGAACGAAAACAAAUUGUACCAAAACAAACGACAACCACUGAAUUACAGGCUCCUGACUUGGGACAGGCACAUAACAGUUGUAUAAAUUUGCAUUGAUUGUCCUGAAUAUGCCUGAAAUGUAUAUCUUUCACUGGUUAACAAUAAAGCAAUCAUGAUUGAACCUUAUAUAUAAAUAUAUCCAAAAAUACCCUCUGUUAGACGACAUGGCUUGCAUUAAAUAAUCAUAAUAUUAGAUAAAGCUAUUAAAUGAGUUGUGAAAACAUAUCGAACAUUUUAAUCAU